rnacentral:rRNA from 1 species
UACGUAGGGUGCGAGCGUUGUCCGGAAUUAUUGGGCGUAAAGAGCUUGUAGGCGGUUUGUCGCGUCUGCUGUGAAAUUCCAGGGCUUAACCCUGGGCUUGCAGUGGGUACGGGCAGACUAGAGUGUGGUAGGGGAGACUGGAAUUCCUGGUGUAGCGGUGAAAUGCGCGGAUAUCAGGAGGAACACCGAUGGCGAAGGCAGGUCUCUGGGCCACUACUGACGCUGAGAAGCGAAAGCAUGGGGAGCGAACAGG